GGAUUCUGAUUUUAUCUUGGGUAUUUAAUUAGUGAGGUUCCGGUGUUCCUUUUUGUACAUAUAACUAUUUUUAUUUGCAUCUCAAUCAAUUGGCUUCUUAAGCGGCGUUGCGAUCAUUCCGUAUUCUGAAUCUACACGCCAAACUGAGCCGAAAUCCAAAUUUUCAUGCUCAUGCUUCAUGCUUUUCAUGAACCUGCUUGGGAACAUGUUAAAAAUCAAUUUGAUGUCAUCGUCGGAUUUUGUACUGGCCGAGCUAUAGCAUAUAUGUACAUAUCAAACAGUUGCCCAGCUGUCAAAGGGUGAUUUCAAAAAUUCUCUUUGAAAUUAAUUUUAGGUUUCUUCUUUCAGGGAUACAUCUUCAGAAGUUCUUCCAAAGAUUCCUUCGAAAAUUUUUUAGGGAUUGAUAUUUCUAUUCCUCAAUAUUUAUUCAGAGACAUUUUCCAGAGUUCCCUUUGAAAAUUCUUAUGGAAUCUCUAUAAAUAACUUUACUUAGAUUACUUAGAAACCAAUGAUUUUAUCCAAAAUUUCUGCAGAGGUGUUUUUUGAGAGCCUUUCAUGAAUUCCUUUAUAAAUUCCUCCAGGGAUCUUUUCAUCAAACUCUAGGGAUUUUGUUUUAGAAAAUCCUACAGACCUUCCUUAAACAACUUUUUAAGGGAUUCUUUCAAAAAAUCUUCUUUUAGACAUUCUUCAGUGAUUUCUUCAGGAGCUACUCCAGGAAUUCCUGCAAGAAGUACUCCAUGCAUUUCUUUGGAAAUUCUUGCUGAAAUGUAUCCCGGGUUUUUAUCAGGUAUUCCUCCGGAUAUUCCUCCAGAGAUUCUUGCCCAAUUUCAUUGAGUGAUACCAGCAAGAAUUUUUCCACAGAUUCCAACAAAAACUCAUUUAGAGAUUUCUUGAGGAAUUCCUCCUGGUAUUCCUCCAAAUCCAUGGUUCGUCUAAGGGUUACUGAAAAUGUUCUUACUUAAUAUAUUAGUCAAGACGUCAACUGGAAAAGCAUCACAAGCUGUAAGAACAUUUUCAGUAACCCCUAGACGAACCAUGGAUUUGGAGGAAUACCAGGAGGAAUUCCUGAAGAAAUCUCUAUUAUGAGUUUUUGUUGGAAUCUGUGGAAAUCGUUAUAACGAUAAUUCAAAGAGUUCGGCCUACUCAUUCAUGUGCUAAACUUAUACCACAUUUCCUUUUCUUCAACAACAGGAUUUUAAAUUUAGCAGACAUUGCAAUGCAUUGGUGUUAAUAGCUAGUAACGGAAACCAGUAACAUUCCUUCCCUUUCUCGGCAGACCGUAAGGACGUGGCCAGCGCCGUUAUUGACCUAAGAAAGUUUGAGUUCUCGGAACGUGUAAAUUGAGGAUGCUGGGCUAAACCCAAGCCCCAUCUGUUGAUUCUCUGUGCAAUUCCGCUAGCUCUGAUCAAUCACAGAGUAGCAACUACGAAGUGCACGGUCACCAAUGCUCAUGCUCAUGCCGAAGUUACUUCCUUCCAGUUGCAUCCAGAGAUGGGUUCUUAUACUACAACCGUUCUAAUUUAGGAUUUAACAUUGGCCCGGGAAGCAUAGUAGAUCCACAAUCUUGUCCAUUUCUGUGGCUAACCUAAUCGCAAACGAAGCCAGGGCACCCACCGAGACAAUCAUCUGCCCGCCCUUCUUUAGUCUCAAGCUUGAGAGGCUUAAUAAGGCGGGAUUAUGAAGAUGUCAUUGAUUAGUUUAAAUUUUCAUCUAUGUAUAUGGUUUCGCAUUAGACGAUUUACACAGUGUAUUAUGUGUUUCCUCGACUUUGGCGUUUUCCAAUCAAUACCGAGUAAAUGAUCUGGUUUUAUUGCUGCUGUUUUUUUUUUGUGCUAUAAUUGCCUAGUUUGUGUAGUGGCUAAGGUUGAGAUAGCUCAUAGCAAUCUUCAUCACAAAAGAACAGCAACAAUCAAUCCCUGCAGACUAAUGCAAAAUGGUAAAACCAAAGUCCAAGAACCUUACUUUUCUAAGGGGAACUUAUACCUAGAAAACCUUGUGAACCCGGUGUUUGCUACUUUCAGUAAAAAUGAAAUGGCAAACUCGAGUGUCGUGCCUCGAGCCUGUGUGCUUGUUAACAACGCAAUCGUUGCUGCACUCAUCUCUGAAUUAACCACCAGCAAUGUAUGUGCUGUUACAAUUGAUUUAUCUGUUAGAAACGUCAACAGGAAAUACGUCUAUUGUUCGGUGUAUUUACCGCAUGAUGAACCAUCCCCUACGGAUACUUUCAAACAAGUCUUCGCAUACUGCUUUUCAAAAGGCCAUCCGCUAAUUGUUGGCAUUACUGCUAAUGCUCACCAUACCAUCUGGGGCAGCUCUUACAUUAACUUGAGAGGCUCCAGUUUGAUGAAGUACGUAAGUAGUACAGAUCUUGGAUUACUUAUCAUAGGAAAGUGCCCAACCUUCAUGGUAUCUGCUAGAGAUGAUGUGUUAGACAUUGCUCCAACAGAAUUAAUCAUGAGUUGACCAACUGGCAUGUAUCAGAUGAAGAAUCUUCAUCUGAUCAUCGAUACAUCUUUUUUGAACACUUAAAUGUUACUUCGCAAACUUAGCGUUUCAGGAAUUUCCGGUCAACCAACUGGGAUCUCUUUACUGAUUUGAUUGCGGCCAAAAUUCAUGGGUACUUACCAUCCAUUGGCACUCCAAGUGAUUCAGAUGAUGCCGUUGAUACUACAACGGCCUUCAUCAUGAAAGCUUUUGAAGAAGCUUGCCCUCUGAGGCUUGUGAAGACCACAAGUGGAACUCUGAUCUGGCCAAGCUCGGGAAACAAUGUAGAAAGAGUUGGAAAGACGACGUUCGGCUAGAUUGGAGACUUUCAGGACGACUCGCAAGGCCUACCAAAAAGCUCUCCGGUAUGCUGAACGACCGGCUGGGAAAACCUUUGUACAAAUGUUUCCAGUUUGAACGAAAUUAGUCAGUUGAACAAAAUCCUCGCAAAAUCUAAGGUUUUCCAAAUGAACGAACUUCACUUCCUCCGAUGAGGAAAUUUUGGAUUGUUUAUUCAGUAUCACACUUCCCCGGAUGUGGAUAUGUAUUACAUCUUCGGAUGAAGUUGUCUUUUCUUGUAGCUAUGAUUCUUUAGCUUCGGCUCGGAGUAUCAUAACUAUAUAAUCGAUUGAGUGGGCACAAAAUAGCUUUCCUUUUUUCAAAUCUCCUUGAGCAGAUGGGAUAUAUCCAAUUUUGCUUCAGAAGGGAUUUGUUGUUUGUUUGUUUGUUAAUGUAUUUACGACACUUUACACCAGAAGGGUGCAUUUGUGUUGGAAGGGAUUUGUUAAUUUCAAACAUGGUUUGAAAAAAAAAAUACUUGUUUGCAGUUUUGCUACAGGGUAUAUUCCCAAAUCCUGGCAGAAUAAGUAUUACUGUAAAGUUAAUUCCGAAAAUGGGUCGAGCGUCGUAUGAAGAAGAAGGGAGCUAUAGACCUAUCAGUUUGACCUCUUUACUUCUGAAAUGUUCAGAACGCAUUGUCGGUCAUCACAUCUUGUCUUGAUGUUCAUCUGGCCAACGUGCCUCUUCAUGUGAACCAACAUGCCUACCAAUCUGGAAAGUCCACUGUGACUCUUUUACACAAGGUUGUUUAGAGGUUGGAGAGUGGAUACCUAGUUACCUGGCAGACGGAAUCGUAUGUUGCACUGAUGGCUCCCUUCUCGAAGGUCGAGCAGAUGCUGGUGUCCACUCUCGUGAGCUAAGGCUACAUUGGUCUUACGCACUUGGUAGACACUGCACCGUUUUUCAGGUCGAAAUCUUUGCUCUUAUGUGCGGAGUGCAAUCAGCACUUCAGCAGCACGUACACAGUUAGAAAAAAUCACCGACUUCGGUAAUGUUUUUCCGAAAUCUCAACCGUUAAGUUUGUUUUACAGGAAAAAUUCGGUAAAGGUAGCAGCUUUUUCCGAAGUUCGUAAGAGUUUGACAGAUAAACGAUAACAUUUUACCGAAAUUUGGCAAUUUUUUUACAGAUUUUCGGUAAAAACCCAUUACCGAACGCUCAGCGGUUGAAAUUUCGGUAAAAAAUACCGAACGCGAUUAGCUGUGUAAUGGGCAAAGUAAUGUACUUCUGUUCAGAUAGCCAGACUGUUAUUGAAGCUCUUGCUUCAGCCAACUCUAGGUCGAGGAUAGUUAUCGCUCGUCGAACUCAAAUCGAGAAGCUGAAUUCAGCUAACGCUAUUUACUUUGUAUGGGUACAAUCUACUGUCUAAGCAGAAUUGCAGCAUGCUGGUCAAAGCGUUGACUGGCUACUGCCGACUCAGCUAUCACAUGGAGAAUAUUCAGCAAGCUAUAGCUAUAUCAUAAUAUUAUAUGAUAUUAUAUGAUAUAUGGUAUUAUAUGAUAUUAUAUGAUAGUAUAUAAUAGCUGUAAAUCCGAUUAUGAAACUUCGUAUCAUUUGAUAUGGGACUGUCCAGUUUUUGCGCAACUCCGCGAUUUGGUAAAAAAAACUUCUUAAGUUAACCCUUCAAGACGCGCGCUGUUGUAAAAAGUACAACACUACCAAAAAACUUCGCUCGCCGUAUACAGCGCGGUGGAGUUUAAGUUGCUUGAUGGCGCGCGUCCUGAAAGGUUAAACCUAAAUCUUCAGAAAAAUGUCUUCUGUUGUUCACGCAGAAAAAUAUCGAUAAGUUAAACCUAAAAACGCGUCGAUUUGCUUCUAUCAUUCUCGUAUGCAUUGAAGCAAUUCAUCGCUUUUAUUGUUUCUAUUCUACUAUAUCAUCAAAACAACAUUUGUUUUGAAUUGAAUCAAAUAUGCGCUUUGUUUUUAUUGUCAACAAACAUCCAUUAUUGUUUCUAUCAAAUAAAUUUGUAGAAUCAACAAUCUGGAUGUUUUAUGGUCACCAUUUUGUGUUUGUAAGAAAAACAGAGGACCUUUCCUUGCGCGAAAUUGCUGAGUCAAAAGUGCGACGAAUAGUAAUCGUAAUGUUCGUUUUCGUUCGAUUUUUUGUUAUACUGCUGUCAAAAUAGUAAGUGCAACUGUGGAGUCGUCAUUUUACUCAUAUCCUUGAUCAUUUUAGAAAUUGUACGAGAUCGAAUAUUCAGUGAUGUUGGCUCUGCAGGAAUUCGUUCAAAAAAAGCGCCGCACUACCCAUUUAAAAACGUAAUCAAAAUAUUUUUAGAAUCAUUUAUUUUAUCUAAAAUUGUGUUAUUCGAUAUAUAGUUACAUACUACUAAUGUCUGUAUUAUAUUAAUACAUACAUGAAAAUAAAACCUAAUCAAUAAAGUUGUUUUUAAUAUAAAAACCCGAUUUAAUCCACCUAUGGUGAACAGAACCCUUCUUACACUUAUUGAAAUUAUUGUUGUAUUAUUUGUAUUUAACAUAUUUAUUUCGUGCUAUUGACCAAAAGUUCUAGAAAAUAUUAUGGAUUUGGCAUCUAGAGGAUUGGUUUCCAAAAUAUCAUCAUGACCCAUGGGUGAACUACCAGAAAUGUCAGACACCUAAUCUUGUAUGGAAUGUUUAAAAAAUAGCUUAAUUCUGGAAUAUUGUAUCUUUUGUUAACUGCCAAAAGAUCUUGAAUCGAUUAAUAAAUGAAUAAGAAAAUCACCGAGAUACACUUUGUCUAAUAUCUCUUAAUCAGUCGAUUAAAUUAGCUCCGAAGUACAUGAAUUAUGGUGUAAAAAGGACAAAAAUGAUAUAUCUACUAAGUUAAUCAGUUUUGGCAUUAGCUAGUUAUUUUGGUUGUCCGGUUCUUGCAUUUUUCCCACAAUAUAUAAAUUCAAAUCUUUCAUUUAACAUAUUGUUAGUUUUCAUAGAAUUCCUGUUUAUUUGUAAUUUGUUAUUUAUAAUUUUGUUGAAAACAAUAACCUGCUAUAGUAUACACUUUAUAUGAGGUCAGCAUUAUUUAUUGAAAAAUAAUUUCACAUAUAAUGGUCAAACAUUCAUGCAAGAUAACAAGUAAAUAUUUGUCCGGUAAUAAAAUAAAAAAAGAAUUUAUUGAAAUACUCUUCGUAAGAUAUCUCAGUAAUCAAAUGUUGAAUCGAAAUAAAAUUUCAGGGCCUUUUACAAGGAUAUUGCAGCUUUUAUUUGGUGCUAAGAGAACCCAAAUCGGUUGACAGACGGCUGAGAUAUUUAUUAUGAUACACUUGGUCAAAAAUCUCAAAAAGAUUAGUUGUAUAAAUCCUAAGUACUCUUCGAAAGAUAUCUCUGUAACCAAAUGUCCAAUCGGAAUAAAAUUUCUGGGCGAUCUACUAGGAUGCAGUAGCUUUCAUUUGGUGCCAAGAGAACCCAAAUCGGUUGACAAACAGCAGGGAUAUUUAUUA